rnacentral:rRNA from 1 species
GACGAACGCUGGCGGCGUGCUUAACACAUGCAAGUCGAACGAAGAGCGAUGGAAGCUUGCUUCUAUCAAUCUUAGUGGCGAACGGGUGAGUAACGCGUAAUCAACCUGCCCUUCAGAGGGGGACAACAGUUGGAAACGACUGCUAAUGCCGCAUACGAUCUGACCUCGGCAUCGAGGAUAGAUGAAAGGUGGCCUCUAUUUAUAAGCUAUCACUGAAGGAGGGGAUUGCGUCUGAUUAGCUAGUUGGAGGGGUGACGGCCCACCAAGGCGAUGAUCAGUAGCCGGUCUGAGAGGAUGAACGGCCACAUUGGGACUGAGACACGGCCCAGACUCCUACGGGAGGCAGCAGUGGGGAAUCUUCCGCAAUGGACGAAAGUCUGACGGAGCAACGCCGCGUGAGUGAUGACGGCCUUCGGGUUGUAAAGCUCUGUUAAUCGGGACGAAAGGCCUUCUUGCGAAUAGUUAGAAGGAUUGACGGUACCGGAAUAGAAAGCCACGGCUAACUACGUG